rnacentral:lncRNA from 1 species
CAUUUCUCAUUUUGCGCAGCCAAUUUCUUAAGUCUGCUGCCAAUUUUUAACUCUGCUGCCGAUUUUGUAACUCUGCUGCCGUUUUCGUAAGUCCUUUCCUCCUUUUGUCUCUUUUCUUUGUUUUUUGUUGUUUUUAGUUUGGGGAUUAGUAGAUAAAUUUUAAUCAAGUGAUAAAUGCAUUAAGGGACUUACUAUCAUGGUGUAGGUACCGAACGCAUUGUAGGAAUUUGGUAUGGCUUUGGUUGUUUAAUAUGCUAAAUGAAGAUAAUGUAUGAGUGCACUACUAUUGUAUUGUUGUCUAGGUUUUAGGCUUGAUAUUGCUGACUUUUUUUUUCCUCCCUGUUAUGAGACACUACUUGUGCUUACAAAACAUAUUUGCUCUUUGAAAAUCCCCGGAGUUGACCAUGAUUUGGUUUAAAAUUAAGAUAUUUAUAACAUUGUAAUUUACCGAGUUCUAUUUUUGUGAUUUAGAGAGUUUAUCCUUUGUUUGCAUAAGAUAUCAUAUUAUAUAUACUUAUGCCAUGGACUAAGUCAAUUUGUUCAAUUCCGUCUGUUUUUUUAUCUAUCCUAAUAUAUAUAUACUUAUGUUUUUUCAGGUAAUUGAAUAAGAAGAAUCAAGAGAUGAUUAAGGAUCAUGAAGCAACAUAACAUACUAGGGAUUAGUUUUUUUUCCUUUUAAAGUUUCAAGUUAUUUAAUUAAAUUUUUUAUGUAUGGAUGUUGUCACUAUC